UACGGAGGGGGCAAGCGUUGUUCGGAAUUACUGGGCGUAAAGGGCGCGCAGGCGGCUGCUCAAGUCAGGCGUGAAAGGCCUGGGCUCAACCCGGGAAUUGCGCUUGAGACUGGGCUGGCUUGAGUGCGGGAGAGGAUGGUGGAAUUCCCAGUGUAGAGGUGAAAUUCGUAGAUAUUGGGAAGAACACCGGUGGCGAAGGCGGCCAUCUGGACCGCAACUGACGCUGAGGCGCGAAGGCUAGGGGAGCGAACGGG
rnacentral:rRNA from 1 species